UACGGAAGGGCAGCAGUGGGGAAUAUUGCACAAUGGGCGCAAGCCUGAUGCAGCCAUGCCGCGUGUAUGAAGAAGGCCUUCGGGUUGUAAAGUACUUUCAGUCGUGAGGAAGGUGUUAAGGUUAAUAACCUUAGCAAUUGACGUUAGCGACAGAAGAAGCACCGGCUAACUCCGUGCCAGCAGCCGCGGUAAUACGGAGGGUGCGAGCGUUAAUCGGAAUUACUGGGCGUAAAGGGCACGCAGGCGGUUAAUUAAGUUGGAUGUGAAAUCCCCGGGCUUAACCUGGGAAUGGCAUUCAAGACUGGUUAGCUAGAGUCUUGUAGAGGGGGUAGAAUUCCGAUGUGUAGCGGUGGAAAUGCGUAGAGAUGUGGAGGAAUACCGGUGGCGAAGGCGGCCCCUGGACAAAGGCUGACGCUCAUGUGCGAAAGCGUGGGGAGCAAACGAGGAUUAGAUACC
rnacentral:rRNA from 1 species